AAUUAAAGGAAGAGCAGAGAAAGAUCGAUCCUUACAUGGAAAAGAAAAUAUUGCAAAGAAGUUGAUACCGUCCACGACCAGUAAAGAGAAGAAGUGCCAGAUGCUUAGAUUGUAAAGAUUAUGGGAUCAUUUGCAGCCAGAGUUGACUUCACAGUUUUCCCCAUUGAGUUUUUUUUAUUCGGUGAUAUCAAUAAUAAGCUCAGGAAAUUGUGAGGCAACAAGUGAACGGUUGUUGUUCGUAGAACCAGUCGGAGAAUAAAGGGAAGACAGCUGAUUUCAGUAUGGCCGGCGUAUUCAUUUGACCUUCUGAUUGAAUUUUCUCCUUUCAUUUACAUGACUUUUCUAUUUAUCGUUUCUCUUGUUCUAGAUUUUCUUUUCCUGAAUGUAAAUAUUUAUGUGCUUUGCAGAAAGAUUUAAAAGUUAGGAUUAUAAUUCCAUCA